GAUUGCUGCAACUUCACCUCCUCGGCCCGUGCCUCGGGCAAUAUGAGUAUUGAUAUGGCUGGGUGGAGCAGAGAACAUGCA